CUGUGCUACUGGAAGGGGUGGAACCUGGCUGCACCUCUCCUAGACCCCAUUUAAGAGCUGACUGCCAGUAGGGAAGGAUCUCUUCUGGAGGUCAUUCCUUGUAGAGUUUACUGUGAGCCUACAACAUUGCAGAACACAUGGUUUUGCUUAGCACUGGCUGAGGAAUUACAAGCCGUAUGUCUUGAAUAUGUAUCUGCCAAGGGGAGCCAAUUAAGCUGCUGGCUGUGGGGCUGAGCUGCUGCCUCUCCGUGAACCUGGUGGAAAGCUGAGAGAGAUUUUUCCUAAAGCUGAGCAAACUGGGCUUCUGGAAAGGCAGCUGGAGCCAUGAGCAGGCAGGGUGACUGGAAGGCGGAUGGAAACGUGCAAGAGAGCAGAAACACAAAUGUUUGGGCAGAGCUGGAAAACGCUUCCCACAGCCGACCACGCAGCUGCAGCUCAUGCCAAAUGCUGUUUGCUUUCUGGGUGAUGGAUUUGUCAUAAGGGCUAAGUUGCUGGGAUUGCUCAAAGUGAGCACGGCCACGGCUGGUGCAGAGCUGGGCGCUGGGGGAGCAGCGUUACGCUCAAUGUUGGUGUGAUCUCAGGACACCGCCGCCAUCCCUGCGCUGGCACUGGGGAGGGUUGUGCCCAAUGAUGGGGAUGUGCCCUUGGUCCCCCAUCUCAGUGAUGGCAUUGCAGGGUUGCUCCAUGUGAGGGCGGUCGGAGCUGUGCUGGAGCCCUGUUCAGUGGGACAAUGGGCAGCUCUGGGUGCAGCACUCGAGGUC